CACAUGGGCACAAUGUGUUAAGCCCAUUUCUGGUGUCCCCAGCCCCGUGAUAUUGCUGGAAUAUUGCUAAAAGCGGCAUAAAACCCAACUCAUUCACUCUGAUUACUAUAAUUUAUCUGCCAUGCAAUGUAACCGUAGUGAUAUGAAAGAAUCUGGUGUUUUUUACAUAUUUUGAAUAGUAUAUCAAUGAAGGCAGUUGACGUAGAUUUUAACUUCCUUUACUGUGAUAUUUUGCUCCACAUGUUAGUGCCUAUAUCCUUGGGGGAUACUUAUACUGUAGUCCUGUUCGAGAAAUGUCAAGAAACAUGUUUUUCUCUGAAAGGAGCGAAAUAGUUCUUUAUUCAGUUAUGCAGUGUCUAUUCACUCAACACAUUACCUCCAGGAUGUGCAGUAAAUACAUUUUUUUAUACCCUAAGACGUAAGACAAAUUAUUCAGCAACAGCUUCACAGAAACCCAUAUUCAAGUGGUCACCACCUAUAUGAUGUGGUCAGCUUUGUAAUCCAGUCUGUCCUGUUGUGAGCAAGAUAUUGUGGUAGAGAUAGCAAUGGUGGAGGCUCCCUUACCUCUUGUAAAUGAUUGGUUGAACCUGUUUGUCUCCAGGAGGGCAAAACUCUUGAUGUCCACACGAAUCUGUUCACUCUUGUUUUGAAUAUGUUGGUUUGUGCUUUGUCGUUUUGUGAAUUGAUCUGAAAAACAGUUUGUUGGGAUGGUUUUUUCGUUUGUUACUUUGUCAUUUUCAUUUUUUCAUGCGUAAAUAUGUAGAAUGAUCACUUGUGAUGUGUUGAGAAUACAUGUAUGAACUGUUUCCAGAAUUGUCUGUAAAUAGUGUAAUAAACUGUUGCUAAUUUAUCCUGUUCA